rnacentral:rRNA from 1 species
UACGUAGGGGGCAAGCGUUGUCCGGAAUCAUUGGGCGUAAAGAGCGCGUAGGCGGCCCUGUAAGUCCGCUGUGAAAGUCAAGGGCUCAACCCUUGAAUGCCGGUGGAUACUGCAGGGCUAGAGUCCGGAAGAGGCGAGUGGAAUUCCUGGUGUAGCGGUGAAAUGCGUAGAUAUCAGGAGGAACACCGGUGGCGAAGGCGGCCCUCUGGACGGUGACUGACGCUGAGACGCGAAAGCGUGGGGAGCAAACAGG